UUUCAUUUGUCUCGCACCGUGCAAUAUUCCAAAAUAUUGCAUAAAAAAAAUAGAAUUCACAUAAGUAGAAAUCGCAUGCACUUUUUAUGAGCCGCGUCACGUUUCCUUUUAAAGAAAAGGAAACGGAGCAACGAUUAAUCGUGACACAUACUCACAGUGACUUCCUUUCUUGAAGAGAUUUCAAGUGAUGAUGCUUGAGUAGAUCCUAAAUCAUAGCACGGGUAGAUUUAUUCGCUUCACAUAAUAUUCUAUUUUCAUUAAAUUAGUGCCAUGUACCUUCUAAAUUCAUAAUCGGUCCUUGAAUCUUUUGAAAAUUGCCCUUAGCAUGCAAUAAAAAAAAAUUUAAAGACGUUAAAAAAACCUAAUGAGAAAAUGUAUUUUUCACCGAAGAGAUUUCAACGCCUCAAUAUGUCGUGCAGUGACACAAAGUGAGCUAAAGUGAAAAGCAAAAUAGGCGACGCAAUUAUUCACGGGGUUCGACAAUAUGUCGAUGUGAUAGAGCUUGUGCAUUUUUUAUUCCAAAACUUUGAGCUUAUUGACCAACGAGCACCCGGGCUAGCUUGGUGAUGCAGUCGGAAAAUAGAGCUGUGCUGUUAUUGGUUAAACCUGCAAGAAUGAGAACGUGAGGUGAUGGGUGCCCACGGCAGCCACUCCGACGCUCAACUCAAUAAGCCUGAAGAGAAAAGCGAGAGAAAGGAAUUGCUCAGAACUUGAACAGUAUAAAAGAACAUCGUACCUUUGCCUCUCUGGUCGUUCUCCUUUAAUACUGUAAGAAGACAGAGAUAAAUAUAGCAUUUUCUGAUAAUCCAAUGAUGAUGUGAUCGUUUGCUUGAUCAGGGAUAUCGCCGGCUAAUAGGUCGGUGAUCCCGCGACUAUAGCCAUAAUGGGUAUACGCGGGACUGUGCCUGAUAAUGAUAACUUUGUGCCGAGACUCAUCUUAUCCAGGGGAGGGCCAGUUAUGCUAAUAAACAGGGUGUUGAGGUGUGCGGGCCUUCCUUUCCUAGAGCGGGGCCACGCUACCCACUCAUCAGAUCUUGCCACGUGGACCUAUUAUGUGUUGACAACUCAUGCCUUUCUUUGGGCGACCCUUGUGCAGCAUCACGUGGACCUAUUAUGUGUUGAAAAUCUCACAGCACCUCGACCCAUCAAAUGAAUAAGUUUUUAUUAAACGAGUUUCUUAGGUUCCCGAUAAUAAGUUUUAAAUGAGCAGCCCUAAUUUCAUGAGUCUCUUAUUUCGCAAACCUUUCUAAAAAAACCGCAUUUUGUUUCUCGCGGCCCAGUUUCUUUUCUCAUUUGAGCCGAAAAUGUUGCGUUGCAUC
rnacentral:lncRNA from 1 species